UUGCAGACUUGAUCACUAGCUCUGCAUGAUGUUGCAGAAGCACGUGGAACAGGUUUGCUAAAGUAAACACGGUCAUACAGCUAUAUUAGCCUUAGAAAUCAAAUUAUUUGGGUUGUUAAUUCUAUACCGUGAUAAGG
rnacentral:snoRNA from 1 species